AUAUCUCUCUGUACGGGAAGGAUGAGAAGCUUCGACUAAGGUUCGAUUCGAGCGCAGCGAGAAAGCGUUGCCGCAGGCAACGA
rnacentral:sRNA from 3 species